rnacentral:rRNA from 1 species
AGAACGAACGCUGGCGGCAUGCCUAAUACAUGCAAGUCGAACGAACUCUUCGGAGUUAGUGGCGCACGGGUGCGUAACGCGUGGGAAUCUGCCCCUUGGUUCGGAAUAACAGUUGGAAACGACUGCUAAUACCGGAUGAUGACGAAAGUCCAAAGAUUUAUCGCCAAGGGAUGAGCCCGCGUAGGAUUAGCUAGUUGGUGAGGUAAGGCUCACCAAGGCAACGAUCCUUAGCUGGUCUGAGAGGAUGAUCACGCCACACUGGGACUGAGAC